rnacentral:tRNA from 1 species
AUAGGGAGACCUACCUGUUGAAUCAGGAAAGUAAAUCGGCAACGAUGAGCGAGUAAUGAAACAACUGGUCAUCCCAAAGGUCGUUCGGAUAUUGAUGUUGACUUUCAAAGCUAUAUUGGUUCGGGUUCAUAUGGGCUAUUAGCUCAGCUGGUUAGAGCGCACCCCUGAUAAGGGUGAGGUCCCUGGUUCGAGUCCAGGAUGGCCCACUCGAAUCUGGAGAGGGGGUUUAGCUCAGUUGGUAGAGCGCCUGCUUUGCAAGCAGGAUGUCAACGGUUCGAGUCCGUUAACCUCCACUGAUUUGAUAAUUUGAGAUGAAGAUAUCAGCAACUUAUCUAGAUGAACUAGAGAGCCUGCUGAGAUUAGUCUCAGUGAGAACCUUGAAAACUGCAUAGAAACUUGUCAGGUAGUCGUCAAUUAGGACUUUGAUUAGCCCCUAGUUGACGAAAAUAUCACAGAC